rnacentral:tRNA from 2 species
UUAAUUGAAGCCAAAAUUAAGAGGCAUUUCACUGUUAAUGAAAAAAUUGGAUUUUUCCCAAUUAAA